AUCGCCGCCGUAGAACUGAGGCAGGCGCCGAACGAAGCUCAGAAGUACACCAGCCGCUCAGAAGUACGCAGUAUUGAGGCAGGAGGCUGAAUGCAAACUGAGAGGUAUGGACAUCGCGCAGGCACCAUGUUUGAGCAUCACCUCGCUGCCGCAGGACUGAGACAGGCGCCAAACGAAGCACAGAGGUACACCAACCGCCCUCGCUACCGCCGCAGUAUUGACAGAGUAAAUACAAACGAGUAGGUCAUCUUCAUAGAAACGCACCGUAUGUGAGCGCACCAAUAUACGUAUGCGGCGCGCACGCACACACUGACAAAAUUCGGCGCAACCACGACUGGCUCCCCGCUAUUCCCCGCUAAAUUUUGUCAGUUUGUGCGUGCGCGCCGCAUACGUGUUGGCGCGCUCACAUACAAACCGCGCCCGUGCGUUUCUAUGAAGAUGACCUACUCAUUUGUAUUUACUCUGGUAUUGAGGCAGGAGGCUGAAUGCAAACUGAGAGGUAUAGACAUCGCGCAGGCACCAUGUCUGAGCAUCACAUCGCAGCCGGAGGACUAAGGUGACAGGCGCCAAACGGAACCUAGAGGUACACCAACUACCUCGGCCUUCGACGCCGGCGCAGGACUAAGGCAGGGGUCCGAAUGCAAACGGAGAGGUAUGGACAUCGCGCAUGCACCAUGUUUGAGCAUCACAUCGCAGCCGGAGGACUGAAACAGGCGUAUACGAAGCUCAGAGGUACACCACCCGCCCCCUCCCUGUCUCAGUCCCCGCCGCCGCAGGACUAAGGUGACAGGCGCCAAACGAAACCUAGAGGUACACCAACAACCUCGGCCUUCGACGCCCGCGCAAGACUAAGGCAGGGGUCUGAAUGCAAACUGAGAGGUAUUGACAUCGCGCAGGCACCAUGUUUGAGCAUCACAUCGCAGCCGCAGGACUGAGGCAGGCGUAUAAGAAGCUCAAAGGUACACCAACCGCCCUCGCUACCGCCGCAGUAUUGAGGCAAGAGGCUGAAUGUAAACUGAGAGGUAUGGACAUCGCGUAUGCACCAUGUUUGAGCAUCACCUCGCCGCCGCAGGACUGAGACAGGCGUAUAAGAAGCUCAGAGGUACACCAGCUGCCAACGCUAUCGCCACAGUAUUGAGGCAGGAGGUUGAAUGCAAACUGAGAGCUAUGGACAUCGCGCAGGCACCAUGUUUGAGCAUCACAUCGCAGCCGGAGAACUGAGGCGCGUACCGAAACCGAAGUACACCAGCCGCCCCGGCCAAGAAGGCGCCCCCUCCCAUCCCUACCUCAGCCCCCACCAGCGUAGGACUGAGGCGGGAGUUUGUGUUCGUCCCUACCGCCGCAGGACUGAGGCGAAAGACGCCAAACGAAGCUCAAUAGUGUUGCCGAUCGAUAGUCGACUAUUGAUAGUCUAUCGAUAGUCAAACUAUCGCAAGACUAUCGAUUGGCCUAUCGAUAGUAUCGAUACUGUCGAUACUAUCGAUAGCUCAAAAUGAGGCAAUACUAUUGAAUAUGUGCAAUACUAUCGAUAGUAUUAUUGCUCGUGAAGAAUAAACUAUCGAUAGUAUUGUCGCUUUUGAAUAAAAAGCUAUCAAAAGCGAUAGUAUCGACAGUAUUGAUACUAUCGAUAGGCCUAUCGAUGGAGAAGGCUUUUUCGAAUGAAAACUAUCGAUAGUUCGGCAACACUAAAGCUCAAAGAUACACCACCCGCCCUGGCCGUCGGCGCCCCUAUCUCAGUCCCCGCCGCAGGAUUGAGGCUAGAAGACUGAAUGUGAAACCGACAGGUAUUUCAGCGUGCUAAUUGCUGUGCUCUUUGAAGAAUGACUAGAGGGACACUGCUAUGCUCUCUGCUGGUUGACAUACAAUGUGAUUGACAUCUGUGGAAUGACAACCUAUGUGAUCACGUCUGGCAUGAAAAUUGUGUUCUAAAAGAAAAACCACUGAUACUGACUCAAGAAAGUCAAGGAUAUGAAUUUUGCGAAUUAAUGCAUUUUAUUUUUUCAAACACAAGGAUCAUCGUGUUCGCACAGUCAAUGUGUUACCGUGUGCACAAUUUUUAAUGUGCGAGUGCAAACAGAGCACAGUGCAUUUUAAUGAAAUUUUAACAUGUAUGUUAUUUUCAUAGAAUAAUUACUGAAGAUAUAUAACGAAGGUUAUGGAUUCAAGAACAUAAAAUGAUCAAUGUAAGUCUAAUCAAUUUCUUCACCUACAAUUUAUAUUUCUAUUAUAGCUAAAUGUGAAAAUACUAUAUCAAUUGAUAAAAACCUCAAAUGUCUAAUAGCUAGAAAUUUAUUUAUUAUAAAAGAAAAUUAAAUCCCGUUUAGAAAAUAUGAAGUAUAAUAUUAGCAAAUGAAUUUCAAAUGUAGAUCAAUAAGUGUUAAUGUAAUGUUAUAAGUAUUAUUUUUAUUUGAAAAGUUAUUUGUACAAAGGUAGCAUAACGUCAUAGAAAAUAAAACACAAUUUGUAUUCA